rnacentral:rRNA from 1 species
UACGGGAGGCAGCAGUGGGGAAUAUUGCACAAUGGGCGCAAGCCUGAUGCAGCCAUGCCGCGUGUAUGAAGAAGGCCUUCGGGUUGUAAAGUACUUUCAGUCGUGAGGAAGGUGUUAAGGUUAAUAACCUUAGCAAUUGACGUUAGCGACAGAAGAAGCACCGGCUAACUCCGUGCCAGCAGCCGCGGUAAUACGGAGGGUGCGAGCGUUAAUCGGAAUUACUGGGCGUAAAGGGCACGCAGGCGGUUAAUUAAGUUGGAUGUGAAAUCCCCGGGCUUAACCUGGGAAUGGCAUUCAAGACUGGUUAGCUAGAGUCUUGUAGAGGGGGUAGAAUUCCAUGUGUAGCGGUGAAAUGCGUAGAGAUGUGGAGGAAUACCGGUGGCGAAGGCGGCCCCUGGACAAAGACUGACGCUCAUGUGCGAAAGCGUGGGGACGACAACGGAGUAGUAGUACCUACCUGUAGAA